rnacentral:rRNA from 1 species
AGCGAACGCUGGCGGCAGGCCUAACACAUGCAAGUCGAACGAAGCCUUCGGGCUUAGUGGCGGACGGGUGAGUAACACGUGGGAACGUACCUUUUGGUUCGGAAUAACGCAGAGAAAUUUGCGCUAAUACCGAAUGAGCCCAUAGGUGGAAAGAUUUAUCGCCGAAAGAUCGGCCCGCGUUGGAUUAGGGAGGUGGUGUGGGAAAGGCGCACCGAGCGUACGAUCCAUAGCUGGUCUGAGAGGAUGAGCAGCCACACUGGGCGUGUGACACGGCCCAGACUCCAACGGGAGGCAGCAGUGGGGAAUCUGGCGCAAUGGGCGAAAGCCUGACGCAGCCAUGCCGCGUGAAUGAUGAAGGUCUUAGGAUUGUAAAAUUCUUUUACCAGGGACGAUAAUGACGGUACCUGGAGAAAAAGCCCCGGCUAACUUCGUGCCAGCAGCCGCCGUAACAC